GUAAGCAUAGUUUAACUUAAAACAUUAGAUUGUGAUUCUAAAAAUGGAAGUUAAAAUCCUCCUACUCACC
rnacentral:tRNA from 2 species